GUAUCGAGAAGAGCACAAACAAUAAACUACAGUUUCCAUCUAUAAUGAAUCCUUUAUAUACGGUUGCAAUAAUUUCAUGAUUUUCAAAAUUGAUUCACUAGUUUAAUUUUACUUCAAGCCCAUUUGUAUAGCCAUCAGUGAGUUAUUUGUCCUUCCGCCACAUAUUUUCUUGCUCAAAUGCUAACCGUGCUAAUGCUAAAAUACUAUCGCCUGUAUAAGCUGAAAGAGGUCAUUUUGGUUUGUAGACUAAAUAUAUAUUACUACCGAAGUAUAUCUGCUUAGCUUUAUAUUAAAUUUAUAAACCAUAGCAUAAGUGUCUUCAUUCAUGUAUAAGAUGAAAGAUAUACUUUAUGUUUCUAGACCUAAUAAUACCUCAAUAAUUGACUCUAGUUUUUGAGACGAUUUUUUUCCUUGAGGUACGAUCCAGAUUAAAUUAGUUUUUUUCAACUUUAAGGGAUCAGUGACAAGUUGUCACGUAUAAAAGACAUCGCAGUUAAGCUUCAUACAGUGUUAUGCUAAACCAGAUAUAUUUUUCUUUUUUUUUUAAGUCGCCUCUAACGUAAUGUAUGCAACUACACAUUCGUACUGAUGGCAGCAGGUACGGUUUUUUUGUUAGGGCUUACGUUGCCUUCAAAUAAUUCUAUUUAGAAGCGACGUGCCAUAUUUAUCCUCAACAUUGACCAAACAAGGGUCAAAUGCAAGAUUAGUGCAAUAUCGAAAUAUCACCAAUGCUACGGUUCCAAGACGAUGUCAGAAUACUGGGUGUCGACUGGGAAGCGGUUCUGUGACGCAUGCAAAUGUUACAUUGCUGACAACAAGGCAUCGAUUCAAAAUCAUGAGCAGGGAAAACGUCAUAAGGAAAAUGUCGCAAAACGCGUCGAGACCAUUGCGAAACGCGGAGCCGAGGAAUAUGCUAAAAACUCUGCUUACGAAAAGGAAAUGGCGAAGAUCGAGGCGGCAGCACUUGCAGCCGUCGCUAAGGACGGUGUUGCACUUGGUGAGCAAGAUCGCAAACAAUAUAGAGAAUUAGUAUCUCGCCGAGGAGAGAGUGCCUAUAAGUCGUGCUACGAAACAGCGACAUCGAAGGUAAAAAGCGAUCGGAGGACGAAUUCAACAAGGAAACCACCAUUUGCCCCCGCGGACAUUAAAACCCCUGACGAAACUAAAGGUGUACCUAGUGCUUGGGUCACGGUAGCAGUACGAGAUAAUUUCAGUAGAACUGAGGAUGAUGUCUUUUCAGAACAUCGAAAACCUGUUGAAGUGAAUAACAUACCGUUGCCACCACCCGAAAAACGAAAGCGAUUCGGUGAAAAGAUCGUCACCCUGUCACGGCUGGAGGACGAUGAUGGCGAUGCAACGGGAACAAGCACUAAUAUCGGAUUCGAGUUUAAACGUAAAUUUAACCGAAGCAAUUUGAGACAGAGAAACAUGGAUGACUGAUUGUGCCAAGCAGAACGAAAUUAGAUGUAUAUCACGUUACAAAAAUUAAGAAAUGAUUCUAGAGCAGCAGAGAAAACGUGUUUCGUCUUCACGUAGGUCCGUAACGCGUUUCAUUAUGCUUUGCUGGUUUGAGGGACGUAUACAGUAGCUGAAAAGCCUGUGUUGGAUUUCAGCGUCCCCGAAAUAGAAAACAAAGGUGAGUUUCCGAGCGCAUUUUUAUUCUUAGCUUAGGUCAGAGCAGGGGCUUAAUUUGCGCUACAUAAACGAAUACGAGACACGAAUACAGGAACGCUAUUGAAAUAAAUACCAGCCAAAGGAUUUCCCAGGAACUGCUUCCAGUACUCAAUCUGCUUCAUUUAAUUUUGGAUCAUGACUCUACAAAUUUUAGCAUCAGUUUUCUAACUCAUUACUAUACGAAUACGAUUUUGCAGGUCAGAAAAGCUUUUGGCGUUGUUUGACAUAAAGCGUGCUUUAAAUAAGCUGCUGGAAAGAUCGAGACUAGUCAAAUACCAGAACCAGGGCAGCUAUUCAAUUUCACCGCCGCGCAUCGAGAUUAGCCGGCCUAGGAACACAGUUCCAAUCAACUUGACUGUUUCUCGCAGCGUAUGGCAGGUUGAAGCCAAGGUUACACCCAGUGCCUUCAUUUCGGUUUACAGAAGGAUUUAUAACCAUUGAUAAUUGCCGCUGUUCUAUCGCUAUGUUCAAAGAAAAAGGCUCAGUGGCAUUUUCGCUUCACAAGCCGUGCAACAUCGUGAUUUUUUGUCGGUGAAGUGACUGCUUUACCCUCAUCCUUAAGUUUUGUGAGCCUCAUAUGCGGCAUUUUUUGUUUAUUGACAUAGCCAUUCAACAAUAAAGGAUUUUCAUCAUGAUAUAAUCAAGGAAGACUUUUGGAGUUUCUUGAUAAAUUGCUCCAGUAUUUACUCCGUUAACAACAAGUAUUGUCCGCAUUCUGUGCGACGCUUACGAGGUACGACCGUAAUCGCUUCCCCAUUUCGGUAAUAAAUUUUUAGUAGAACCAAACGGUGUUCCAAACGGUAGAUUUAGUUAUCGUAAAUUGCAAAUUCUGCUAAGUUUAUCACUCAGUAGCCUGGUAGCUUUUAUUUUGCUUGCCUACGAAACCAUGGAAGGGGGACGAAAUUCCUAUACAGACCUCUAGACCAUCCUUAGUUGGCUUGAGACGCUCAAAUGUUAUGCCUAUUGUCUCAUAAAUUCGACUUUUUCUCACACCUGUAUUCUUGAACGAUGAAAUAUAUGGUCAGUUAAGUUCUCCUACCCUUGAGCAUGCUCAUUGUCAUGCUUGAAGACAUUGAUAAGUUGAAAGCAAAUAGCAUGAGGUUUACACGAUUGCUUUAUGUCAUAGAGCAUGAGAAGGCGUUGUUGUACCCAUGUGCAAAUUUUCGUAAAGUUUAUAUCUAGGUGAGGUGGUACGUCCCCUAUCAUGGCGCCUUUUGUGAUACGAUUCAACGUGUUUAUUAAAACGUCUUCUUGAACUGUACGAUUCUUAAACUGAAUUUUACUGUUCGUACUGUUUUUUUUUUCUGGAUGCACCUUGUUUAAUUCUCUAGAUUUCAAUGGGAAAUUCCUAAGCAGUGCCGAACUUUUUUUAACAAUAUAUCUAAUAUAAUAAUAAUUCUUAUGGCCAUUCCAAUUGGUGCUCAUAUAGUCAAGUCCUCCUUGCACACCAUAAGAAACAAUUCGUUUUUUCAUGAUGUACAAGGUUUUUGCGCGUCUCUUGAACUUCUUUACCAUUUGGAUCAACCUUGUAAGUCCCGCCUCUCCUUGGCUGGCUUUGUGGUUUAGAGAAUUUCUUGGUUUGGGUCUUCGUCAAGCAUAGGUCCAGGCUAGUUCGCGCUGUACCCUUAAUUUCAUUUAUUCUUCAGGUGACAGUUUAUCAUUCCUCAAUUAAAUACAAGGCUGGGAUAAUCGUAUCCUCUAGUAUCAUAUUAUCUGUGACUACGACGGUUACACUUCAGCCUUUCCAUGUAUGUGGUACUACUCUCAACCUCUACAAGCACUCUAGUGAAGGCUUGACAACGUGUGAAUUGUAGGUGAUAUUUUCUUUGUGCCAAGAUCAUUUAUUUGCCCCUUCCUGAAGUUUAGUUUAAUAUUACGUUUAUAGGCAAUAUAAUUUUAAAAAGAUGGGUUGUCAAUGAGGUUGAGUUCAUCGAGCACUCAGAAGUGCGCAAAGUGUUCAUCGAGAAUUCAGAAAAAGAUUUUAAAGCAGUUGAAUGUUUUUAAGCAUAACUGUUUCAGAGUGCAAUCUGCGAAUCCGAACAAUAAGCAUCAGCACAUGGACGUCUGGUGAAAUACACGGAGGGGUAGUUGCACUAAUCUAUAAGAAUAAUUUGCGAAGAACAACUGUGGUUAUUAUAAGUUGGAUGCAGUGUUAUCAACACAUGCAGUUCUAAAUGAGGAAUGAAGCAGGUUGGUCGAUUUGUAGGGUUUUCUUCACAUGCAGAUAAAUGCUCAAAAAACAUUACAAAUAGUAUGUGGAUAUAAGUGUUGUUCUUGUGGAGAUCUGGGAAAAAAAUGGAAAUCUUUAUCAUUGUUCUACAUUUUUAUCUUAAAACUAUAUCUUUCUAACCAGCAUUAGAAGACUACAUAGGAAGUACUUACUUUCGCACACUAUGGCAAUUUUCUUUCUCACUUUCAAGAAGUAAGGCAUCUGGAUUUUCAAUAUGUAAACAAAUAAAUGCCUAAUAAUUUUAUGUAAUGAACAAUAGUAGUUGCGCAAAGAACUUAGGAAGAACGACGAUUUAAGCAACAAUUCAUUGCAAGAUAUGGCUCAAAUAUAAUGCUUGGAUCAUUUGAAUACUUUUUUGAAGGCGAUGUCAAACUACUAAACGUUUAGGUGACGCGGGCUUCUAAGUGCUUUGCGAUAAUCUCAUUUAUUUGUAAUAUAUGAAAACAGGUCAUCGAUUUGUAGGAACGUGACGUGUGAAAGGAAACCACAAAUUCUUGAGUUGAUCGGUUGAAUCAUCAAGGAACUAUCUCAAUAUGUCAAAUUACGAAUACAGCCGCUAGUUACAAAACUAAUGCAAGUCCAAAAAUUGAAGUUUUUCGCAGAAGAAAAUCGGUAGCUAGCCAAUUGAAUGUACAAAUAAAUAGUUCACAACAAAUCGUUUACCAAACGAAAAGUAAAGUAAUCGUCCAUAAAAUAUAGUUAGAGAUGUCCAUGCUUGAGUAGCAUCAACUAGUGAUACUAAUGGAACCUACUAUCCAGUCCUUCUCAAUAUGUUCAGCUUCUCGUCGAAAAACUCUGCAUCAACUUUUCUGCAACAAUAUUAAUAAUAAUAUAGAGCGUUUGACUCUUAGGUGGCUUUCAGUGAUACCGCUCGUACAGGGCUGUCAUUAAAUGGACAGCAACUUCGGGUACUGCAAAAACAUCGGGAAGCCUACACUCGACGACGAUUUUGUCUAACGGCAAUUUUUCUAAAUUGCUGUUAUUGUUAAAUGCUAUUGACUCUGUGGCUUUAAUAGAUACUUACUUUAUUUUGUAUUGGCUUCAAGCUUUGUUUUGUUGAUGCCAUACGGAACAUGUAUUUACAAAGAU